AGAGUUUGAUCCUGGCUCAGGAUGAACGCUAGCGGCAGGCUUAAUACAUGCAAGUCGAGGGGCAGCACGGUAGCAAUACUGGUGGCGACCGGCGCACGGGUGCGUAACACGUAUACAAUCUGCCUUUAACAGGGGGAUAGCCCGGAGAAAUCCGGAUUAAUACCCCAUAACACAUGAAGUAGCAUUACUUUAUGUUGAAAGCUCCGGCGGUUAAAGAUGAGUAUGCGCCUGAUUAGCUAGUUGGUGAGGUAACGGCUCACCAAGGCGACGAUCAGUAGGGGAUCUGAGAGGAUUAACCCCCACACGGAUACUGAGACACGGAUCCGACUCCUACGGGAGGCAGCAGUAAGGAAUAUUGGACAAUGCCCGCAAGGGUGAUCCAGCCAUGCCGCGUGCAGGAAGACGGCCCUAUGGGUUGUAAACUGCUUUUACACCGGAGAAAACCUCCCCUCGUGAGGGGAGCUGAUAGUAUGGUGAGAAUAAGCAUCGGCUAACUUCGUGCCAGCAGCCGCGGUAAGACGAAGGAUGCAAGCGUUAUCCGGAUUCAUUGGGUUUAAAGGGAGCGUAGGCGGCCUUGUAAGUCAGUGGUGAAAUCUCUCGGCUUAACCGAGAAAUUGCCAUUGAUACUGCAGGGCUUGAGUACAGUUGCCGUUGGCGGAAUAUGACAUGUAGUGGUGAAAUACAUAGAGAUGUCAUAGAACACCGAUUGCGAAGGCAGCUAACGAAACUGUAACUGACGCUGAGGCUCGAAAGUGCGGGGAUCAAACAGGAUUAGAUACCCUAGUAGUCC
rnacentral:rRNA from 1 species